rnacentral:rRNA from 1 species
AAGCAUAUCAUAAAGCGGAGGA